GGGGAUUUAGCUCAGUUGUAGAGCGCUUGCCUAGCAAGUGUAAGGUCCUGGGUUCAGUCCCCA
rnacentral:tRNA from 1 species